CAGGAUGAACGCUAGCGGCAGGCUUAACACAUGCAAGUCGAGGGGUAGAAGAAGCUUGCUUCUUUGAGACCGGCGCACGGGUGCGUAACGCGUAUGCAAUCUACCUUUCACAGAGGGAUAGCCCAGAGAAAUUUGGAUUAAUACCUCAUAGUAAUACGACUUGGCAUCAAGAUGUAUUUAAAGAUUUAUCGGUGAAAGAUGAGCAUGCGUCCCAUUAGCUAGUUGGUAUGGUAACGGCAUACCAAGGCUACGAUGGGUAGGGGUCCUGAGAGGGAGAUCCCCCACACUGGUACUGAGACACGGACCAGACUCCUACGGGAGGCAGCAGUGAGGAAUAUUGGACAAUGGGCGCAAGCCUGAUCCAGCCAUGCCGCGUGCAGGAUGACGGUCCUAUGGAUUGUAAACUGCUUUUAUACAGGAAGAAACACCUCUACGUGUAGAGACUUGACGGUACUGUAAGAAUAAGGAUCGGCUAACUCCGUGCCAGCAGCCGCGGUAAUACGGAGGAUCCAAGCGUUAUCCGGAAUCAUUGGGUUUAAAGGGUCCGUAGGCGGUCAGGUAAGUCAGUGGUGAAAGCCCAUCGCUCAACGGUGGAACGGCCAUUGAUACUGUCUGACUUGAAUUAUUAGGAAGUAACUAGAAUAUGUAGUGUAGCGGUGAAAUGCUUAGAGAUUACAUGGAAUACCAAUUGCGAAGGCAGGUUACUACUAAUAUAUUGACGCUGAUGGACGAAAGCGUGGGUAGCGAACAGGAUUAGAUACCCUGGUAGUCCACGCCGUAAACGAUGGAUACUAGCUGUUGGGAGCAAUCUCAGUGGCUAAGCGAAAGUGAUA
rnacentral:rRNA from 1 species